rnacentral:lncRNA from 1 species
UCACUUUCAAUCAAAAACCAACUGCCGUCACCACUGGGCGUGGCAAACCCACCUAAAUCUAGUCGCUAACCCUAAUCCCUCAUUCCCUCAGCCUCUAUUCGAGAUUUUGACUGACCCUGACCCUCAGCCUCUCUUAGACUCACUCCCUCUGUCCCUCAGUUUCAGUCGCCGCCGACCCACCGCAAAGUUCGACGGUUCGGCCUUAUCUCUAAGCUAGCUCUAACCUCUCAGUCAGUCAUCUCACUCCCUCAGCCUCUCUAAGCUAGCUCCUAUUCGUAAUCUCGAACCGCUGAACCGCCGACCCACGGCUUUGCUUCGACCCACUUCCCUCAUCUGAAAUGUUGUUGGACAAGGAGGUGGCGAAGGAGGUGACGAAGGCGGUGAGGAGGAGUUGUUGGAGAAGGAGGUGACGAAGGCGGCGGAGUCGCUGUCGUCUUGCACACUUAACCCCACGAACCCAACACAUCCAUUUCUCCAGAACGCACUCAACUCCUCCAUCGUCGAUUCCAAGACCAGUGUGUCGUUUCUGUAGGUCCUGGCAGGGACUCGGCGAUUUCUGGGAUUUGGGUUGAUCCCUCUCUUAUGGCAGUCCCUUGACUUUAAGUCAGAAACCCUAAAGGGGUUCCACGACUUCAGCCUCUCGCCUCUCUUUUCUUCUCUCGACCUAUCAUUUCAGUCUCUCUCUUUCUUCUCUGGCCUCUCGCCCUCUCUUUCUUCUCUUCGUCAAUCUUCUCAGUUUUCUCUUCGUCAUCGAGAAUUCGAGAUCGUCAAGGAGACUGCCAAGGACUGGAAGGGUCUUCAGUCCUCUCAGUUUUCUCGUCGUCUCUGGUCUCCGCAGCCGCUCCGGUCAUCUAGGCCCUCAAAGAGCUAGAUCGCGACCGCAAGGCCACUUCUGCAGAUCCAGAGCCUCUCUCUCAAAUGAAGGUGUUCGCUGCAGAUCCAGCUUUACUGCUGAAGACAUCAAGCAGCCCAGGGAAUCUGGGGUUGUAAAGGUGCAGUCAAGAAAGAAAGCAGAGAUCUUUUUAAAACGUUCUGGUUCAGCUAAAGCAAAGAAUUGCUCAACAGGAACAGGUUCUCCAGUUUACAAGGUUAGAUCUGAUUGAGUUUUUCUUUUUGGUACAUUUAGAUCCGAUUGAGUUUUGAGAACUGAUGUAGACUUGUUCUGCUUUCUCUAUUUUUUAUGUAAUUGAGAAUUUUUGCUCUAUGUUAUAUAGUUAG